rnacentral:rRNA from 2 species
CUUGGUGGUUUAACGCGGUGGUCACACCCGGUUCCAUUCCGAACCCGGAAGUUAAGCGCCGUAGUGGCGAUGGUACUCCAUUGGGGGAGAGUAGCUAGCCGCCAGGA